GAUGAACGCUGGCGGCGUGCCUAAUACAUGCAAGUCGAGCGAACGGAUGAGAAGCUUGCUUCUCUGAUGUUAGCGGCGGACGGGUGAGUAACACGUGGAUAACCUACCUAUAAGACUGGGAUAGCUUCGGGAAACCGUAGCUAAUACCGGAUAAUAUUUUGAACCGCAUGGUUCAAUAGUGAAAGACGGUCUUGCUGUCACUUAUAGAUGGAUCCGCGCUGCAUUAGCUAGUUGGUAAGGUAACGGCUUACCAAGGCAACGAUGCAUAGCCGACCUGAGAGGGUGAUCGGCCACACUGGAACUGAGACACGGUCCAGACUCCUACGGGAGGCAGCAGUAGGGAAUCUUCCGCAAUGGGCGAAAGCCUGACGGAGCAACGCCGCGUGAGUGAUGAAGGUCUUCGGAUCGUAAAACUCUGUUAUUAGGGAAGAACAUAUGUGUAAGUAACUGUGCACAUCUUGACGGUACCUAAUCAGAAAGCCACGGCUAACUACGUG
rnacentral:rRNA from 1 species